CCAAAUGGUCCACUGAGGCAUCCAUCUCUCUGGAAGAUUAAAAUAUCUGAGAAAAUAUUCAGCUUUGACAUGCAAAAUGGUUGCACAGCAGAUUAAUAUCGCUGAGAACAUAUUUUCUGAGCUCCUUUCAUUGCCAUAUUACCCACAAAAUUUCUUGUUCAGUGUUGUUAAUAUGCUACCAUGUUAACAACAGAGCUGGAGACCUCAGCCUUUGUCCAUCAUGGGGGUUAAAUGGAGCCUGGGAGAAGGAGGCAUAAGACAAGACAGACCAGCGGCACCACCCAAGGACCAGAGGAUAAAAAGACCCCAUCAUUCCUCAACUCUACAAGAAUUCUGCUGGAGGAGCACAGAGUUAAAGCUGGGCCCACCACGUGACAUU